UUUUUUUUUUUUUUUUUUUUUUUCUCUCAGACGAACGCGGCGGCGUGCCUAAUACAUGCAAGUCGAGCGGACAGAUGGGAGCUUGCUCCCUGAUGUUAGCGGCGGACGGGUGAGUAACACGUGGGUAACCUGCCUGUAAGACUGGGAUAACUCCGGGAAACCGGGGCUAAUACCGGAUGCUUGAUUGAACCGCAUGGUUCAAUUAUAAAAGGUGGCUUUUAGCUACCACUUACAGAUGGACCCGCGGCGCAUUAGCUAGUUGGUGAGGUAACGGCUCACCAAGGCAACGAUGCGUAGCCGACCUGAGAGGGUGAUCGGCCACACUGGGACUGAGACACGGCCCAGACUCCUACGGGAGGCAGCAGUAGGGAAUCUUCCGCAAUGGACGAAAGUCUGACGGAGCAACGCCGCGUGAGUGAUGAAGGUUUUCGGAUCGUAAAACUCUGUUGUUAGGGAAGAACAAGUACCGUUCGAAUAGGGCGGUACCUUGACGGUACCUAACCAGAAAGCCACGGCUAACUACGUGCCAGCAGCCGCGGUAAUACGUAGGUGGCAAGCGUUGUCCGGAAUUAUUGGGCGUAAAGCGCGCGCAGGCGGUUUCUUAAGUCUGAUGUGAAAGCCCCCGGCUCAACCGGGGAGGGUCAUUGGAAACUGGGGAACUUGAGUGCAGAAGAGGAGAGUGGAAUUCCACGUGUAGCGGUGAAAUGCGUAGAGAUGUGGAGGAACACCAGUGGCGAAGGCGACUCUCUGGUCUGUAACUGACGCUGAGGCGCGAAAGCGUGGGGAGCGAACAGGAUUAGAUACCCUGGUAGUCCACGCCGUAAACGAUGAGUGCUAAGUGUUAGAGGGUUUCCGCCCUUUAGUGCUGCAGCAAACGCAUUAAGCACUCCGCCUGGAGACGGACC
rnacentral:rRNA from 1 species